UACGAAGGGGGCUAGCGUUGCUCGGAAUCACUGGGCGUAAAGCGCACGUAGGCGGCUUUUUAAGUCAGGGGUGAAAUCCUGGAGCUCAACUCCAGAACUGCCUUUGAUACUGAGAAGCUUGAGUUCGGGAGAGGUGAGUGGAACUGCGAGUGUAGAGGUGAAAUUCGUAGAUAUUCGCAAGAACACCAGUGGCGAAGGCGGCUCACUGGCCCGGUACUGACGCUGAGGCACGAAAGCGUGGGGAGCAAACAGG
rnacentral:rRNA from 1 species